GACGAACGCUGGCGGCGUGCUUAACACAUGCAAGUCGAACGGUAAGGCCCUUCGGGGUACACGAGUGGCGAACGGGUGAGUAACACGUGGGUGAUCUGCCCUGCACUUCGGGAUAAGCCCGGGAAGCUGGGUCUACUACCCGAUAGGACCACUGCCCGCUGGGGUGGUGGUGGAAAGCUUUUGCGGUGUGGGAUGGGCCCGCGGCCUAUCAGCUUGUUGGUGGGGUGUUGGCCCACCAAGGCGACGUCGGGUAGCCGGCCUGAGAGGGUGACCGGCCACACUGGGACUGAGAUACGGCCCAGACUCCUACGGGAGGCAGCAGUGGGGAAUAUUGCACAAUGGGCGCAAGGCUGAUGCAGCGACGCCGCGUGAGGGAUGACGGCCUUCGGGUUGUAAACCUUUUUCAGCACCGACGAAGCGCAAGUGACGGUAGGUGCAGAAGAAGGACCGGCCAACUACGUGCCAGCCGCCGCAGUAACAC
rnacentral:rRNA from 1 species